AUUGAACGCUGGCGGCAUGCCUUACACAUGCAAGUCGAACGGCAGCACGGGGGCAACCCUGGUGGCGAGUGGCGAACGGGUGAGUAACAUAUCGGAACAUACCCUAGAGUGGGGAUAACGUAGCGAAAGUUACGCUAAUACCGCAUACGCCCUACGGGGGAAAGGGGGGAUCUUCGGACCUCUCGCUAUCAGAUGAGCCCAUGUCAGAUUAGCUAGUUGGUGAGGUAAAGGCUCACCAAGGCGACGAUCUGUAACUGGUCUGAGAGGAUGAUCAGUCACACUGGAACUGAGACACGGUCCAGACUCCUACGGGAGCAGCAGUGGGGAAUAUUGGACAAUGGGGGCAACCCUGAUCCAGCCAUGCCGCGUGUGUGAAGAAGGCCCUAGGGUUGUAAAGCACUUUCAGUGGGGAGAAAGGUUAUUCACCUAAUACGUGAGUAGAUUGAUGUUACCCACAGAAGAAGCACCGGCUAACUCCGUGCCAGCAGCCGCGGUAAUCG
rnacentral:rRNA from 1 species